AUGCUGUUGGAACACCCACUUCAAAGCAAAAGUUUAAGAAAGGAAACACCUAGUUUGUCAAUCCUUGGGGUGAAAGUUUUAGAUCGAGUUGUUAUGUCAUGUCUGCCCGCUCUGCUGUGGGUCCGUCUGGCUUCACACCUGACUCAAAGAUCAACUUUGUUAGGCGAACCCAGAACAUCUGCUCACUCUCCAUCUUUUUCCUUUCAAAGACAUCUGUUAAAGAAUAACAGAACUCUCUGGAUUCAUUUCUCAGAUUUGUGGGAAAGCCCAAGUCAGGCACUUUGUGUCCCACCACACCUCCCCAAGCCUGAUGGUGAGGAAUGUUAUUCUUCAAUCCAUAUACAUUCCUACAAAAGAACAGUCCUAGAGGGGAAGACAGGCUUUGCAUUUGCCAAAUGGCUGGGAAAAGAGGCCAAGGGAAAUACCCUAGUGUUUAGAAUCUGCUGUGUAUUCCUUCUAGGAGUGCUACCUGGAGCAAGGAGACCAGGGGAAGGACGAGUCUGGAAUUGGGUGAGGAUGAAAUCGAGAUAUGGAACAGUGGCUGUAGAGCAAGAAAUCUAAGGAUGACAUUAAAAGAAGACGUGACUAUGCCAGUGAAGCACUUGGAAAUUUCAGAUGAAAUAUGCUGCAUAAAAUCCACUGGGUGUGUCUGUAAUCUGAACUGA
rnacentral:lncRNA from 12 species